AUGAUUAUUUUGGUCGAAUUGGUAUCUACUUUUCAUAUAAAGAAUUUAUGGGGCAUUGCUAGCUCUCCUGUUUUCUUCACCUGGGCCUUUUCAUAUGAUCUUAAGUUUGUAUUAGGUGCAAAGAAAAAGAAGGCUGUAUGUUUGUUCCAUGUCAAUCUCGCCAGCCAAUGCUUGAAACUAAGUAAGACACAAGGUACCGUAGCAGUAAAUUAUUUGUUGUUUCAUGUCAGUCAUUUUUCUUAUAGAGCACACGACGAAUUUCCAAUGUUUUCUUGCCUGCGUAACUGUCGACCAAACUUCUACUGCAAGUCUGUAACAAAAGUCUAUGAUAUACAGUAUUAUUCAGACUAUUAUGUUAGCUGA
rnacentral:rRNA from 1 species